ensembl:snoRNA
GACCUUUUGUAGUUCAUAAGCAUGAUGAUUGGGUUUCACGCUCAUGUGUAAAAUGUGCCUCCCUCAAACCUUGUUACAACAUCAGCACAUUACCCAUGUGACA